rnacentral:rRNA from 1 species
UUCUUGUUUUUAAAAGACCUAGCAAUAGGUAUGCUUAGGGAGGAGCUUGCGUCACAUUAGUUAGUUGGUGGGGUAAAGGCCUACCAAGACUAUGAUGUGUAGCCGGGCUGAGAGGUUGAACGGCCACAUUGGGACUGAGACACGGCCCAAACUCCUACGGGAGGCAGCAGUAGGGAAUUUUCGGCAAUGGAGGAAACUCUGACCGAGCAACGCCGCGUGAACGAUGAAGUAUUUCGGUACGUAAAGUUCUUUUAUUAGGGAAGAAUAAAUGAUGGAAAAAUCAUUCUGACGGUACCUAAUGAAUAAGCCCCGGCUAACUAUGUGCCAGCAGCCGCGGUAAUACAUAGGGGGCAAGCGUUAUCCGGAAUUAUUGGGCGUAAAGGGUGCGUAGGCGGUUAAAUAAGUUUAUGGUCUAAGUGCAAUGCUCAACAUUGUGAUGCUAUAAAAACUGUUUAGCUAGAGUAAGAUAGAGGCAAGUGGAAUUCCAUGUGUAGUGGUAAAAUGCGUAAAUAUAUGGAGGAACACCAGUAGCGAAGGCGGCUUGCUGGGUCUUUACUGACGCUGAGGCACGAAAGCGUGGGGAGCAAACAGGAUUAGAUACCCUGGUAGUCCACGCCGUAAACGAUGAGUACUAAACGUUGGGUAAAACCAGUGUUGAAGUUAACACAUUAAGUACUCCGCCUGAGUAGUACGUACGCAAGUAUGAAACUUAAAGGAAUUGACGGGACUCCGCACAAGCGGUGGAUCAUGUUGUUUAAUUCGAAGGUACCCGAAAAACCUCACCAGGUCUUGACAUGCUUCUGCAAAGCUGUAGAAACACAGUGGAGGUUAUCAGUUGCACAGGUGGUGCAUGGUUGUCGUCAGCUCGUGUCGUGAGAUGUUGGGUUAAGUCCCGCAACGAGCGCAACCCUUAUUGUUAGUUACCAGCACGUAAUGGUGGGGACUUUAGCAAGACUGCCAGUGAUAAAUUGGAGGAAGGUGGGGACGACGUCAAAUCAUCAUGCCCCUUAUGACCUGGGCUACAAACGUGAUACAAUGGCUGUUACAAAGGGUAGCUGAAGCGCAAGUUUUUGGCGAAUCUCAAAAAAACAGUCUCAGUUCGGAUUGAAGUCUGCAACUCGACUUCAUGAAGUUGGAA